UACCCAAUGAAAACAGUUUCGAGGUAGUGACGAGAAAUAACAAUACAGGGCAUUUUUUGUUCUGUAAUUGGAAUGAUGGGAAUGUAAAACCCUUUCAGAUUAACAAUUGGAGGGCAAGUCUGGUGCCAGCAGCCGCGGUAAUUCCAGCUCCAAUAGUGUAUAUUAGAGUUGUUGCAGUUAAAAAGCUCGUAGUUGGAUUUCUGUCGUGGUCAUCCGGUUCCGCCUGUAUGGGUGUGCGCCUGGUUUGCCCUCGGCUUUCUUCCGUUAGCCUUCGGCGCUUCACUGCGUCUGUUGGUGUUUCGGAACUUUUACUUUGAGAAAAAUAGAGUGUUUCAAGCAGGCUUGUCGCCCUGAAUACUUCAGCAUGGAAUAAUAAGAUAGGACCUUGGUUCUAUUUUGUUGGUUUCUAGGACUAAGGUAAUGAUUAAUAGGGACAGUUGGGGGCAUUCGUAUUUAACUGUCAGAGGUGAAAUUCUUAGAUUUGUUAAAGACGAACUACUGCGAAAGCAUUUGCCAAGGAUGUUUUCAUUAAUCAAGAACGACAGUAGGGGGUUUGAAGACG
rnacentral:rRNA from 1 species